CACGGUGCUUGGCCAUGAUUACCCCAAACGCCGUAAUCAUGGCCAAGUACCGUGCUUGGGCGGGAGUACCUCAUGAUUUAGUUCUACUCGGCUCUCUUCCAUUUUUAGAUUAAAAAGUCACAACAUCAUCGUCACGGUUCAUGAACUGACUUUUUAUUUGAACACCUAACUCGUCGUAGAAAGUGGUCCUCUUAGUGUUCUAGUGCGAACAUUUGAUGACUUAAUCCUCUAUUUCUGACUUUAAAUACAACUAUAAACAUGUACUCUGUCGAGGAUUAGGACACUAUUAGUGAUGAUCGAUCAUGUCUGGUAACGAUCAAACAUGCCCUGGUCGCAGUACUCUCCUUACCGUAUGAUGUCGCGGAAUAUCUCUCAUGAUCUAACACCAUGACGUGUUAAAAGCAAGAUCAACUUUUAACAUUUAGUAGUUUCCUCACCGACGGAAACAUAGUGUAGUCAUAAUUCCGUCGAGUAUCGUGGUAGACUUGAAAAGAUAUACAAACCAGUAUGAGUAAAUGAAUGACAUUACCAUUUGUAGUUUCCUCACCGAUGGUAACACAGUGUGCGUGGUCACAAUUUACGAGCCUGACACUCUUUUAAAUAAAGAAUAAUAUGAAAGUAUACACUUAAAUAUGAACAGUCGUAGGUAUAAUAAACAUUCACGGUCGGAGUGAUCGGCGUGUGAUACAUUACGUUGAAACCGUUUGAAUAUACUUUGAAACUUCAUAUCAACCGAACCAUUUUCCCUUUACGAUUUUAUGUUGAAGGUCUGUAACAACUACAUACGGGGACUUGGAUUUUUAACAUAUAACUACUGUUACUAAACUCCAGACUAAAAGGAUCAAAAAUCAAGUAGAUCUAGUCCUCGUUUCGACUUGUAAGUCCUUGAUAUUCUCUAGAUUCGAAACGAUACCGAGAAAUAGUUCUAUACCAAAAAUGGACACAAGUCGUUAUCGAUGAUACAACCAAGUUAGACUUAAAUAAGAGGUAAUAUAAAGGAAGAAGGCUAGAAAUUAAGAGAACAAUAGGUCAUUUUAUUGUCAAACAAGAGAUUGAACAGAUAGGUUAUGUUUUUGUACUCAAUGUAAGUUUCAUGUCCCUUGUAGUAAUCACGUUGUUUCUCCAACGUCGUUUUUCAGCUCCAAUAGUGAACCUUUCUUCUUUAACAUAUUAUAAGAAGGUUUACUUCUUCUCAAGUAGAUCUAAACCUCGUUUUAUGUUCUAAGCACUAGAUUUUCUCUACAUUCUCGGGAAUGAGAUCAUCUCUUUCGUACCUCGCCAUCGUACCGUCCGUGUUCCUUGUAGUACUUCUGUUUCUGUCUCUCGAAAGUUGUUAUUGUACUCCAAUAGAUAGUUCCCAUAGGAACCUCUUGUAGAACGUUGGUUUCGACAUCGUCUUGGAACAUCUUUUACUCCAGAGCUUAAAACUUAUAAACCAACUACGUGGUCACAGAAACCAGAGACAAAAACAACUGGUAACUAGGGACAUAUAUUGAAGAUACGUUAAACUAGUCUUCAAUACACUUAAGCGUUGAGACACUAAUUACAUUUGAUAACUACACAGAUACGAAACUUAUAAAACUCACCUU
rnacentral:rRNA from 1 species